rnacentral:rRNA from 1 species
CGUAGGCGGUUUACUAAGUCAGAUGUGAAAGCCCCGGGCUUAACCUGGGAACUGCAUUUGAUACUGGUAGGCUAGAGUAUGAUAGAGGGGGGUAGAAUUCCUGGUGUAGCGGUGAAAUGCGUAGAUAUCAGGAGGAAUACCAGUGGCGAAGGCGGCCCCCUGGACCAAUACUGACGCUGAGGUACGAAAGCGUGGGUAGCGAACA